CUGCGUGGAAGGGCCAUCGCUCAACGGAUAAAAGCUACCCUGGGGAUAACAGGCUUAUCUCCCCCAAGAGUCCACAUCGACGGGGAGGUUUGGCACCUCGAUGUCGGCUCAUCACAUCCUGGGGCUGUAGUAGGUCCCAAGGGUUGGGCUGUUCGCCCAUUAAAGUGGUACGCGAGCUGGGUUCAGCACGUCGUGAGACAGUUCGGUCCCUAUCCGUCGCAGGCGUAGGAAAUUUGAGAAGACCUGUCCUUAGUCCGAGAGGACCGGGAUGGACGUACCUCUGGUGUACCAGUUGUCCUGCCAAGGGCAUGGCUGGGUAGCUAUGUACGGAAUGGAUAAGCGCUGAAAGCAUCUAAGCGCGAAGCCAACUUCAAGAUAAGAUUUCCCACCGCAAGGGUAAGACCCCAGAAAGACUAUCUGGUUGAUAGGUCGAAGGUGUAAGUGCAGCAAUGUA
rnacentral:rRNA from 1 species